GAUUACUAUUUCAGAAGACAUUCAUAGAAAGAGGGUGGCAAAUUCGGUGACCACCUUUAAAGGAAGUUUCCUGGGACCUAGCAAGAGAGAAAGAAGCCCAAAGAAGGAAAAUAAAAGGCUAUGAUUUCCUUGUCCUGUUGCUUUGUCUCUGGCUCCCUCUGCUUCUGGAAGAGUAGCCACAGGACACAAAGAUGCCCAGCUGGUCGUUGCACGCCCAAGUUCAGUUUAGCUGGUGUUUCUCUCCUGUUUAGCCUGACUGCUUUCUCUGAAGGGGAGGACUCACAGCCCGACAGCCUUUUAGUUUAACCUUAAGAGUGUGUGCCGCCUCUCUCUGCCCAUCCCAAGAGCUCGCUGGAGGUGGAGAGGGGAGAAAAAGGAAGACUUGAAAGUGGCCAAGGAGCUCCUGAUGCUAAGAGGAAGCAAACAUUCCCGUGGACGACGCAGAAAGGACUGAUUUAUUGCCGUUUCUUUUUUUUUUUUUUUUUGGUUUGGGUUUGGUUUGGGGGUUUUUUUUUUUUUUUUUUUGGUGGUGGUUUUGGGGUUUGCUUUUUUUUUUUUUUUUUUGGUUUUUUUUUUGUGAGUGUCCUCCCUCUCCUUUGGCGCACACCAGUGUUUGGAGAUCUCUGAAAACACAAAUCAAAACACCAGCCCCGAAGCCCCAACCCCUUGGCUAGCUCUUAUGGGAAUGAAACACUCCUCCCGCUGCCUGCUCCUGAGGAGGAAAAUGGCGGAGAACGCUGCCGACAGCACCGAGGUUUGCCCCAUCCCAUCCCAGCCUCCUCAGCCUACUGUUGUUCCAAAGCCAGUUCAAUCUGUCAUACAUGUCCCAUUGCAACCAAGCUGCCCAGGCCGGGGCAAGAUGGCAAAACUCAUCAAUCCAGAAGAGAUGACAUCCAGGGAUUAUUACUUUGAUUCCUAUGCUCAUUUUGGAAUUCAUGAGGAAAUGUUAAAGGAUGAGGUGCGCACAUUAACCUAUAGAAACUCAAUGUAUCACAAUAAGCAUGUUUUUAAAGAUAAGAUUGUCCUUGAUGUUGGAAGUGGCACAGGAAUCCUCUCCAUGUUUGCUGCAAAGGCAGGAGCCAAGAAGGUAUAUGGGAUUGAAUGCUCAAGUAUAUCUGACUAUUCAGAAAAAAUUAUCAAGUCGAACCACUUGGACCACAGUAAGGCAUAUAUAAAAAUAUUUUCUUCAGGAGAAAGAGAAGAUAACUGUUUCGCUUUUUCUGAUUAAUUUAUGUUGUGUUGUUUAUAUGUAAAUGGUAAUUUUGCAUAAUUUACUCAUGUAAAUGCAAAACUAAACACCUCAUUCUAGGCACUACAACAGUUCCUCAGGGGAGAAGUUACUUCUACAUUUACUUCUAGGCUCACAGACUAUAAAAUCAAAUAGGAUUUGUCAGUGGGCAGUUUGAUUCAGCAAAGCAGGCAGGUGGCCCCAUAUUAGAGCUGAACUUUUCGAAUUAAUUCUGCCAUUUAAAUUCCACCUUAUUUCUUAAAUAGAAUUGACACACACACAUUCAAAUUGAAAUAAGGUUCAAAGCAAAAAGUAUUUUGUUUCUAUACACAUUUUUCACUAAGAAUUUCUUCUGACUUCAAACUUUAAAAAAAUACUUUUUGAAAAAGCAUAUUGAAAUAAACACACUCAUACAAAUUAAAAUGUUCAAUUCUCAGAAUAAUAGUAUCAGAGAAAACUUCUAUUUUUUUCUUGAAAACUGUUGACAUUUCUGGGGAUGUGGAAACACUUCAAUUAAAAAAAAAAAAAAAUACUAGAAAUACUCCAAACCUACUGAAAACUCUUAAAAAAAAUAAUCUCCAACAAGCUCCAUUUCAUAUCUUCAGUCCUCUUCCAAAUCACUGUACACAAGAUAUGUUUGUAACAAUCUAAAAAAUCAGGGUUUUUUUAACUGAAGCUGUGAGACAGUUCUUGUUUAAAAGUGUUUCUGUGAAGGGCUUGCCUUUGCUGCAGAGCAGUGCUGGUCAUAGCUGGCUAGACUGUAUAAUUUGCCCCCACUUUUACCUGUGUCUGUGCUAGUGCUGUGCUAGCGCAUCCACAGGGAUAAAUUUCUGUUCUGAUUUAGAUCUGUUCUAAUUUUUAUUGCUGUCACUUGCAGCUUCUGACUAACACAGAGAUGUUUGGGAGGAGAAUUGAUUGUAGAGAAUGUGCAUUAAAGUGUGCAGUGUGAAAGAAACAGCAGUGACGUGGGAUGCAAGAGGCCAGACGGUGUGUGCAACUUUUGGUUCAGAAAAAAAAGGAAGCAAAGGGCCAGAGAAUACUCUCCUCCGCAGGAGGGAUAGGGCACUAAAACAAUGAGGUGUUGACCUCAACUUGGUUGUCCUGUACCUUUGGUGCAGAGCCCAGAGUGGCCUUUCAUGAAAUAGCUACACAAACAGCACACCGUAAAUGAAUUCAUGUUUGUAUUUCCAGCAACAGGAAUUGUGUGUGAAGGGACCAUUGUCAGAAAAAUAAGAAUAAUUCAGUAUGCUCCAGAGGUUGCAGAGGGUGUUUACUUCUGCUUCUUCCUCCUGUUUCUCCAAGGAGCAAGUCCUUGGAAAAACUGUGGAGGAAGAAGCAGAGACUUCUUCCCUUUGGCAAAAAAAGAACUUGCCCAGACAGGUUCAGCAGCCUAUCUAACUGCAGUUUGGUCUCCAAUAUAGACGAAUUACACAACUGAGCGAACAUUUACACUGAUCUACAUUCACUUUUAUUUUAAUGCAACCAGGUGCUGAGCCAAACGAUCUUGUUGCUUAUGGAAAUUUUUUCUUUUCUUUCCCCCUAAUUGUUUAGAGAAAUGCAGAGUCAGCAAAAGGGGCUAUACCGAGAGAAAAGCCACUAUUUUCAGAACAGAUACAGUACAGCUGGGACAGCACUAUCUGUUCCCACAUGAUGCCUGAUGAAGAUAUUUCAUCAAAAUGAAGGGAGGUGCAAGAAACCUGUGCUGCUGCUGCUUACACUGUGACUGUUCUAGGUAGAAACAGAGGGCUUCAAAGUCUGCAGGUGUGUCACUCUGGCAGCUGUCAACAGUGCUAAAAAUCAGUUAAAAAAAAAUAAAUAGUGGCAGUGAAAGUUCUCUGGAGAAAAGAGAUCUCAUGGAUGGAUCUUAUAGACAUGAAGAGUCUUUAGUAUAACAGCAGAUGAACUAUUGAGCUACUAAGUGUGAAAGGAAGGACUUUAAAGAGUGGGAAGGGUAAGAGAAAUCUGCUCUUUUCCAAUCAGGUUGCUCUUAAUACUUUGUGUUGCCAGUUUGAAUUGGCAUGUUCCAAACUUCUUAGAGGGCUAAUUUGGGUUAAAAGUUUGCUAUGCAGAUAAAGUGACCACAACUGGUUAGAAUAAUACUAGUACUGCAUGAAUGUUGGAAAGUUGAAACCUCAUUUUCCCUGGGUUGAGUUCUAAAAAUCACUCAGCCCACACUUACACUCUUAAAUAGCUAACCCAGUUCUAGCUAAAUGAAAGUACCUUCAUCUUCCUCAAACUGAAUGUUGAGAAUUUUCAUCAGUAAAAAUUGCCAUAAUUAAAAAUUGUCAUUUAUUAAAAGUUAUGUAAUAAUCUAAAUCUUAUUAGUUAGUAAUGAAAUGUAAAAUAUUCCCUGCUCAUUUUGUUCCUGAAUUUCAAGUGCAUCCAUUACCUUGUUAAGGAAGAAUACAGAACCAUGAGACUUUACCCACUGCAACAAACAAUAUAAAUAGCAGACAAAACAAGCUGCAAAUUAUUUGUUCAAAUAAUUUAUAAUACGUUUGUAAGUAGGAAGAAUUUGUUUAAAAUGCAAGAAUGAUUAGUGAAUUGCAUAGGGAUCCUAAAACAAAAAUAUUUGUUACCACUGAACUAAAUAUGGACCAGCAUUUAAUUUUUUUUCUCUAAGCAAAAUACCCAUUUUAGUAUCAAGCAGUUGUAUUACUGCUUGUUGAUUUGCUUUUGCAGUGCAUACCCAGUCUGCCAUAAGUGGUAUACAGUAUUGCCAGUAAUUCAGUGCACUGUGUUAUAGUGUCUCUGAGGAUCUGGUGGUUUACUACAUCAAAAUUCUAGCAAGCUUUUUAAUUUCCUUGAAACUAAUUUGGUGACAAAAUAUCUGACAGCAAUAUUUUCCAGCAGUCACUUUAGAUAACUGUGGAAAGUCAUGCAAGUCUAAACUAGGUAGAAGACUCAGAGUGAGAAUGGCAGUAUGUUAUAGAAGAUUCUAUAAUGAAGCAGAAGGGAAUGAAAAAUGACUUUUCAUGACAGAAAUGUGUUUGUACACACUUUCUUGUUUGUGUAUUGUCAGGCUAGAUCUACCUUACUCAGUUAGGUCAGCUCCCCAGAAUUCAUGGAAGAAAUAGGCCUUAGUUUCUUCAUUGCGAAGCUAGCAUAAUAUGUUUGAAAAGCAGGUGAGAAUUAGAUCCUACAUCCAUAAAUGUCUAAUAUCGCAGUGAUGAGAUCAUGUAUGUGUUACCCUACAGGGAUGUUUAAAGGAUUCUAGGUGGAUUCUUUGCAUUACUUUGUCAAUGAUAUAGACAUCUUCCAAAUUCCAAAGGGUAUGUAAAAUGAGAUCAGGCAGGUAUCCAGGUAAGGCCUGUUUUUCUGUUGUUUUUUAUAUAUGGCUGUUAUUUUGUUUGAGUUUUGGUUUUGUUUGCAUUGGGGUUUUUUUGGUUGGUUGGGGUUUUUUUAUUUGGUUUUAUUUGGUUUUUUUUUAAUUUUUGUUGGGUUUUUUUGGUUUGGUUUGGUUUGAGGUUUUUUUCUUUUAUACUGAUACUAAAACGCAAGUAGUUUUAAAAUAGUGUAAGAUCCAUUGAGUCACAUGGAGUUACCCCUUAUCUACAGGCAUUGAAGAACAGAAUCAUAUUGAAAAGGUCAGCCUGACAUUCACCAGUAAGGAACUUAAUCAGGUGUUUUAUUAUGUGAAACAUAUUUGUUUGGAUUCUUUUUUCAGUAAUCACAAUAUUUAAAGGUAAAGUGGAAGAAGUUGAAUUACCUGUGGACAAAGUAGACAUCAUCAUCAGCGAGUGGAUGGGUUACUGUCUGUUCUAUGAGUCAAUGUUAAACACAGUCAUCUUCGCACGAGACAAGUGGCUGAAACCUGGAGGGCUAAUGUUUCCAGACCGAGCUGCUUUGUACGUGGUAGCAAUUGAAGACAGACAGUACAAGGACUUCAAAAUUCACUGGUGGGAGAAUGUGUACGGCUUUGACAUGACCUGUAUUAGGGAUGUUGCCAUGAAGGAGCCUUUGGUGGACAUAGUAGAUCCAAAGCAAGUGGUGACCAAUGCCUGUUUAAUAAAGUAACAAAUACAGCAUUAAGUAUUCCCAUAUGCCAAAAGGAAAGACAUACCAUUAAUCUACAGAAACUUUACUGAAAGCAGCAAAAAGGAACAGAAGUAAAAACUCUAUCAUUUCAAGACAGCACAGCUUAUUCAUAUUAGAUUCACAAAAGGACUUUUUAGGAAGUUGAUAUUUAUACAGUGAAGACUGAAGAAUUGGCAUUUACUUCUGCAUUCUGCCUACAAAUUCAGCGUAAUGAUUACAUUCAUGCCUUGGUCACCUAUUUUAAUAUCGAAUUUACGAAGUGCCACAAGAAGAUGGGAUUUUCUACAGCACCUGAUGCUCCCUAUACUCACUGGAAGCAAACUGUCUUCUACUUAGAGGACUAUUUAACUGUGAGACGAGGAGAAGAAAUCUAUGGGACUAUAUCCAUGAAACCAAAUGCAAAAAAUGUGCGUGACCUGGAUUUCACAGUAGACUUGGAUUUUAAAGGACAGCUAUGUGAAAUGUCAGUAUCUAAUGACUACAAAAUGCGCUAGCAAGAAACCUUUCAGAGAUGAAAAGGAGAAUUUUAUCAAGUCCUGAACUGCUGAACUUCAAGCUAGGAACAACUUUUUACAAGAUUGUUGUACUAAAUACUAGAAUGUUUACCUAGACGGAAAGUGGUAACCUGAUUCUUCUUGCAGAAAGUACAGGGGGCUGGGAUCCCACUGUGAAUGUACAGUAUACAGAACUGUAGCUUUUGUCAAACACGUAGGAAAAUAAGCAACAGUCUUGACUGUUCUGGUUAACUUUAGGAUGGCAGAAGAUGCGUAUACAAAUUGUACUACUUACUGUGAAUUUCUGGUUCUUCCAAGCUUUGCAUGUUAAAGGUGAUUAGGGCAGUUUUCUCACUAUGGAAGACCACUACAGCACAUUACUGUGAUACUAUUACUGGACUUAUAUUCAAUAUAAAUGAAUAUAUAUAUUGUAUAUGAGAAAAAGAUAUUUCAUAAUAGGGAUUUGUUUUGUGAUUAUUUAAUUUUCAUUAUGCAGUUAUGGAAAGGUAAUGCUGUUGCCUCUGGCACUACUCUAGGCAGUGAUACAGUCCAUUAACUGUCCAAAGUUAUAGCUUUGGUAAAUAUUCCAUGCAAAGUGUACAUAAGAGCUGGGCAUUUACAGAAAGUUCAAAAGCUAUCUUUUUGAAUGUCCUCUGGAAAAUGUGGACCAUUAGUUUUAAAAUUCAUCUUCACAAAUGGAUGUCUAUCAGAGCUUUAAAAAAAUUAGCUUUUUAUCCUUGAAAAUAUUCCGUGGUGAGUUUUUAUAGGUGGAUUUUGCAUGAGAUAUUCUGAAAUCAGACACCUAGUAUUUAAAUGUGAUGAAUGCAGAGUCUCUGAAAUGGUGGCUAAUACAUGUUUCUUGGCCAUGCCAUACUUAAGUUCUUUGCAAGACUCUUAAUACAAAAUAAUUAAAAAAAAAAAUAGGAAUUAGUGUUUCCUUUUGGUGAUGUUUUAGGUAUGUUUUAAAUUGCAAAAACUGUUCUCAAGAGUGCAGUGAAUUGCAGGAACAAGCUAAUGUCUAUAAAAGAAAAAAGUCAAUGGCUUCUGAUAUUACUAAGAUGUCUGUAGCUUCCCCAUCCCCUUACACCACUUGUUCUUCUUACAAUAUCUCCUGCUUAUUGUUAAGAUAUUAACUGAUUAUAAUUCUUCAUACACAUCAAGUCUUUUUACUAUAAGAAUGUUGACCAUUUAAUCACAUGUAUUUCGAGAAAAACUGCAUCAUCGGUCCUAUCUACCCAUUUUCCAGUCUGACAUUAGGCAUCAAAUCAUGUUCCAUCAUGUAUUGGAUGAGAUUGACUAGUUUUUUUCCUAAAAAUCUUUUUAAUCACCUGCAAAUAAAGCAUACUUGAAGAUGUA